UACAGCCACAUCAGGUUGAAACACUGAUUCCCCAUACGAUCACAAAAGUUAAGCCAUGUCAGGUCAGUACUUAGAUGAGGGACCAGUUGGGAAUACCGGGUAUUGUAAG